UACGUAGGGACCGAGCGUUGUCCGGAAUCAUUGGGCGUAAAGAGCGUGUAGGCGGCCACUUAAGUCCUGCGUGAAAUCUUGCGGCUCAACCGCAAGCGGUCGUGGGAAACUGGGUGGCUAGAGUGCGGGAGAGGAGAGCGGAAUUCCUGGUGUAGCGGUGGAAUGCGCAGAUAUCAGGAGGAACACCAAUGGCGAAGGCAGCACUCUGGGACGUGACUGACGCUGAGACGCGAAAGCGUGGGGAGCAAACAGG
rnacentral:rRNA from 1 species